AAAAGUGCAAUUGGCAAGAAAAAAAAACGGCUGCUUGAGUUCUUUUAAAUACUUUUUAAAAGAUAGAUAUUUAUAUUUGAGUGCAAUUUCUGUUAUGUCCAAAAGAUAUAUAUUCUUUCCCACACACACACACACACACACACAAAAUUUGAGUGCAAUUUCUUUAUAUGUAAUAUUAUAUAGCCCCCGUUGUUGUUCCCAUUUUGUUCUCUUGUGCCAGCCAGCCACCCCUUAAUGUUCGUUCGAAUUCGAAUUCGAUCACCUCUUUCGAGCUUCCUGCUAUGCAUUCUAUUCUCCUUUGGCUUCGCUUUCGAAAUCGAAUCGACUCGAAUCGAUCAUACAUUCUCUCCUUGGCUAAUCGAAAUCGUAAUCGAAUCGAUCACACACACACACACACACACACACACGAGCGUCUUUAAAAUAUUUCUCUUUAUUAAUAUAUGCAUAUAUUACAAGUUAUUCUCUGCAUACUUUAUGCCUAUAUGUAACUCUUAAUUUACGUUUAAUUUAUUUAAUUUGUAAUUUGUGUUUCAUUAAAUUUUGCUUAAAUUCUAUGAGAUUUCGGCGGAUCGGAUCUCGUACGUUGUAGUAUUUAUAAGUUUUACAAUUAAUACUUUUUUUUUAUAAAAUUGCGUUUCAACAAAAGAAAAAAAACAAUACGUAGAAGAACCAGAUUAAAUGUAUUCUAAAAUAUGAUUGAUGCGCAAUCAAUCAUGCUGAUAAAUGAUGAUGACGUUUUUUUGCCAUAGCCCUCAAUGUUAAAUGAAAAUAUUUACCAUGUAUUUGUGAAUUUUUGUUGUUGUUUUGGUGGUUUUGUGAUUUUUGUCUUCUGUCUCUACGAUUUUCAUUGGUCUGCAUUUUUGGCGCCGACCGGAUCCAGAACAGAGGAAGAAAUCCAAACAAAAUUAAAAGUAAACGAGAAUGAUGUUACGAGAUGGAACGAAACAAAAGGAAGAAGAGAUGAGGAAAAGAAAUGAUAAAAACUAAAUGUGAAACGAAUUGCAAAUUUGUUGUAUUUUUUUAUAUGAAUAUAUAUUAGUAUAUUGAUAUAUGACUAUGAGUAUAACCCGCAUACAUGCCCAUUAAGUAUGUAUGCCAUUAGAAUGCUAUAUGUUGUAGUUCAUAAGCUAUAUGUUGUGGAUCUUUAAGCGCUAACAGCCAACACCCACAACAACAACAACAACAAUUUUUUGUAGUAGUUUUUUAAAAAGAAACAACGAAAAAAGAAACCGAAAAGCAUAAAAAAAACUAAGUAUGUAUUUGUAUUUGUGUCUAAAACAGAAUGUUCGUAAAUAACACAAAAACAAAAAAGGAAAGAAAAGAAACAAUAAUAAAACGAAUGAAAAACAAGAAAAAAUCGUCAGUGAAUCGAAUCUACUAUAUGUAUAAACAUCAAGCUAUUUUGUUCUGAAAAUAUGGUUCCAAAUAAUAAUAAUUCGGAUACGGAAAGGGGCUCUGCUUCACUUCGUUUGGUCUUGUUCAACAUUCAAGACUCUGGACGUCAUCGUCGUCGUCCGUCAUCCAUCGAUGCAUUCCGCUGAGCUUGCCGAAAUUUCGAAAAAUCACGCGCUGCCCAAUGGAACUGUAUGGAUUACUACAAGCCAGAGCAUGCAUAACAGGAGUGAUGCCACCAAAUUGGCCAUGGAGUGACCUGGGUUAGGGGUGCUACAAUAACGAAAGGAGCUGCUUGGAAAUGCCAUCUUACAUCUAAAGGAGUUCAUAGAAAUAUUCAUAGUCACUCUACUUGGGCAUUGGGAACCGUACCUCUUUCGCUCGCUUAUCUACUUCUUUGUUCAGCUGCCGCGUAUAUGGAUCUUGUAUCUUUGUGGCGCAUAGCAGAUAACUUUUCCUCUCCAUUGUACUUAAGGGUGAAAGUUGAACAAAGGAUUGCGCUUACACCGCAGGGAAAGACAGAGUCCGAGGGUCAACUCUUCUCCACGGAGAAUUGAAGUGCGCCCCAAAGCUUUAAACAUCGAUGUAUUUCGCAUGCUAUGUACACAAAGAAGAACAAAAGCGUGCAGAAGAGUGACUUACCGGAAGGAAAACCUUUAAAUUUGGAUAUCUACAGUAUCAUAUUCCCAUAUUCCCUUAUGGGAAUCGUCAGACAAUCCGAUUCUUCUCUUUGGGCAUGUGCUACGUACAAUUUAUUACGUUGCAUCUUACGGAAAGCUUCUGGAAAUAAAAUGAUCCCUCAAUGAAAUUGUAAGCCUUCUUAUGCAUACAAUGUGAUGCAUCAUCAAGAUUUGGAUAAGAUAAUGAGCAAAGUUAUUUUCGUGUGCAAACAUAAACACAAGUUGAGCCAAGUCAAAGGAAUGGGAUAUGGAUACCCCAAGAAUUAUGUGGGUACAGAAGAUAGUAUGUACUACACACUAAGAGAAAUAUUAAGAAUGGAAUGGGGAAUAGAGAAAAGGUUAUAAGGGAGGAAAAGUUUAGAAUUAAAGAUCCCGAUCGACCUACGAGUAGAUGUUCUUAGGAAAAGGAAAUAUUCAUUUUGUGCAUUGCCCUGGAAACAAACUGGGAAAUUUACACAGACUUAUGGGGGCUAUCUCCGAUGAAUGUCCUGCAAAUCGAAUGGCUAGAGGAACGCCGGCAGAUAAUUUCAAAUUCUAUGGAAAAAAAAUUGUUAGAAAAAUUACUGCAGAGUGGAUACGGUGUUAAAGCACACGUAAAAUCUGAAAUAUCGAACUGUGGAAUCUCAGCAUAACUAUAUCAACGACCGCAUUACAUGGGAGUCCUAUA